rnacentral:lncRNA from 1 species
UGGGUAGGUCAGGUUUGUUGGUUUUUUUUUUAUUUAUCUGGAGACUGGAGAAUGCAAGCAAAAAGGUGUUGAACUGGUCACAAAACGAGCAGGACUACAGCAGGCAAAAAGCAGAACAAAACUGGAUUUUGUGUAACAAGCAGAUCGAAGAUCUGCCAGACAGAGGAGAGAUUUCCAGGAGUUUCUAGAGGGCUGUGGGGAGUCUGGGGUGAGGCAUGAGGGAUUCUGGUGAGAGGAGUGCUGCAGUAAUGGGCUGCAGUGUGGAGGAAGAUGAAAGGGAGGAAAGGAAGCAGAGCACACCUAUUAAUAAAAAAAUACCCUUUUCUUUUCAGAUUUAUUGAUACCUCAGAGCCUGAGAGUCUCCCAUGCCUUUGCAUCUUUGUGCUAACAUUACCCAAGGGUGGGCAGGAUCUGUGAUGAGCCUUUGAGUUCAAGUGGGGAAGACCUCUCAAUGUUAAUUUGUAGAAAUGAAAAGAAGACUUGGGUUAGCAAAGAUUUCUGCCUGAGAAACCUGUGCUGCAGUAGAAAGAUGGCACCAGUGUUUCUAAAAACCCAGCUGAGCAUGCACUACCACACAUCAAAAAUGCAGUCACUCAGCUGGGGACCUCAGGAUGGUGGCUGUGGAUUAAUUCAGUGCUGGAGGGAAAAUUGAUGGUUGCCCUGGGACCAGUGUUUGCUGGCCACUGACAUUCAAAGAAAGGACAGCCCCAUCUGGUCAUGGGGAAAGCAGUGACAAUGCAAAAGGAUGAAGUGAUCACAGUGGACAAAGAGCAGGUCAUGAACUCACCCCAAAGGAGGGGCAGAAGGGUUUUGUUGGGAGCUGAGUCCAUAGGAGACAAAGUUUAUUCCUUGCAGGCUGUUAAUGAAACAGGUACUGAGAAGUUCCCGUCACAAACAAUGCUGGGAAGUCGGGGACGGCUCGGUUGUUCCUGACACGGCUUUGCUCUCUCUGGGGUUUGCAGCCAAAUUUCUCGUCCGGUGACUGAGUGUUCCCCCUCCGGAAGGGGUGCUGCGGGGAGCCGCGGUUCCUCGGGCCAGGGUGACAUUUGCAGUGACAGGGAGGUCACUCGGCGGAAGAAAACAAAAGCAGCGGCGGCCACGGAGCGGCCCCGCAGAGGGGAGAGCCCAGGCGGGGCAUUGAGGACCUGCAUUUACCUCACAUUCCUUCUACUUUCUAUAAAACAUUUUUUAAAUCAUUGGCAAAACUUUUUUUUACUUUUUCCCCUUUUCUCUUUUUCUCUCCUCUCCUCUCCUCUCCUCUCCUCUCCUC